rnacentral:tRNA from 1 species
CUAGAAUGGCAGGCCUUGAUCCCACAAUAAUUUAGUUAACAGCUAAAAACUCUAUCCAGUGAGCCUCAUCCUA